rnacentral:tRNA from 1 species
GACGCUGUGGCAUAGUAGGUAAAGCCACUGCCUGCAGUGCCAGUAUCCCACAGAGACCCUGGUUCAAGUCCUGGCUGCUUCA